rnacentral:rRNA from 1 species
GAUGAACGCUGGCGGCGUGCCUAACACAUGCAAGUCGAACGGAGAUUGCGGACGGAAGUUUUCGGAUGGAAGACUGUAAUUCUUAGUGGCGGACGGGUGAGUAACGCGUGGGCAACCUGCCCUAUACAGGGGGAUAGCAGCUGGAAACGGCUGGUAAGACCGCAUAAGUCGGUUAAAUCGCAUGAUUUGAUCGGGAAAUGAGCAAUCAGGUAUAGGAUGGGCCCGCGUCCGAUUAGCCAGUUGGCAGGGUAAAAGCCUACCAAAGCGACGAUCGGUAGCCGGACUGAGAGGUCGGACGGCCACAUUGGGACUGAGACACGGCCCAAACUCCUACGGGAGGCAGCAGUGGGGGAUAUUGCACAAUGGAGGAAACUCUGAUGCAGCGACGCCGCGUGAGUGAAGAAGUAUUUCGGUAUGUAAAGCUCUAUCAGCAGGGAAGAUGAUGACGGUACCUGACUAAGAAGCCCCGGCUAACUACGUG